rnacentral:rRNA from 1 species
UUUCUCUGGAAAGACAUAAAAGUGCCGAUGUGAAAAUAAUUACAUAAUAUUAAUCGUUCUGUAAGAUGUUCCCAAUUAAUUUUUUGAGGAUAAGCUCGGAAAAAAGUUAAGAGAUUUUACUAAUUUAGGUUACCAUGUGGGCUUAAAAUUGGCCAUCAUAAGAGUUUGUUAUAAAACAAUAAUUCUAGAGUUAAAAAUAAAUAUAUUUUAUUCUAAUUACUUACAGAAAUAAAGGUCCUAAUUAAUAAAUACCCCUAUACCUAUGCUAGGAUGAGUAUUAAAAAUUUAUAUAUAUUAAGAAAGUUUUAUAUAUUUUUCUUCUUAAAAGAUAUUGAUUAAAUUAAAUUAGUUAGAAGGAACUCGGCAAAAUUAAUUGCUUCGCCUGUUUAUCAAAAACAUGGCUCUCUGAAUUUAUUUUUAUAGGGAGUCAGGCCUGCCCAGUGAAUAAUAUUUAACGGCCGCGGUACUCUGACCGUGCAAAGGUAGCAUAAUCAUUUGCCUUAUAAUUGAAGGCUAGCAUGAAUGGUUAAACGAAAGCGAUACUGUCUCCUUUCUAUUUUCAAGAAUUUAACCUUUAGGUGAAGAGGCCCAAAUUUAAUUGAAGGACAAGAAGACCCUGUCGAGCUUAAAAGAUACUAUAGAAGUUUAUAUAUUUUUAAAUAAAUUUUCUAUUAAGCUUUUUAGUUGGGGCGACUAAGGAACAAAAAAAGCUUCUUAUAAUAACUAAACACACAAGUAUUGAUCCGAUAAUAGUCGAUUAAAGAAAUUAGUUACCGCAGGGAUAACAGCAUAAUCUCUCUCAAGAGACCUAAUCGAAAGAGGGGUUGUGACCUCGAUGUUGGACUAGGCUAUCCUAAAGAUGCAGAAG